rnacentral:lncRNA from 10 species
ACAUUUACCAGAGAAGCACUGAUCAGGACAAAAGAAGUGCAGAACUUUUCUUUAUAUUUAUUUACUUCAACAGCCAUUAUAUCAGCACAUUAUGUAUAGGUUACCUUCAGCAAGUUGCCUUAGCUGGAAGAUUGGAACAUAUACAAUAAAAAUGUCACAAUUGUAUGAUUUCACUUUUAUUUAUUUAUUUAUUUAUUUUUGUUUAUUUUUUUAUUAUACUUUAAGUUUUAGGGUACAUGUGCACAACGUGCUAGUUUGUUACAUAUGUAUACAUGUGCCAUGUUGGCAUGCUGCUCCCAUUAACUCGUCAUUUAACAUUAGCUGCAUGCAUACUGUCACCAAGCAAAUAUAAGAGGAUGGAUGGUCCUGUGCUUAACCUAAAGGUACUCCACAAACCCACAAAAGAGCAGAAGAAACCAAGCUAUGAAAGAUCAGACAAAGAGGAAGAAAAUGCUGUUUUCAGCAACAUAUGAAAACUUUAUGUUGUUUCCAGUCCUGAUAACAACAGAGUGACAGCACAUAUAUGGCUGGUAUUCAAGGGUCCAAGAUCAAUGAAAGAAAACACAAGAAAAAGAAUUGAAAGUAUCUUACAUCAGAUGCUGAAGAACCACUCAGGAUCCUUGACUACAGAUCUGAAUUCUCUGAGGCUUAUGGGUAAGCUCAUGAUGGGAGUGG